rnacentral:rRNA from 1 species
AUUGAACGCUGGCGGCAGGCCUAACACAUGCAAGUCGAACGAGUGGCGGACGGGUGAGUAAUGUCUGGGAAACUGCCUGGUGGAGGGGGAUCACUACUGGAAACGGUAGCUAAUACCGCAUACCCUCGGAUGUGCCCAGAUGGGAUGAGCUAGUAGGGGGGGUAAAGGCUCACCUAGGCGACGAUCCCUAGCUGGUCUGAGAGGAUGACCAGCCACACUGGAACGGGGACACGGUCCAGACUCCUACGGGAGGCAGCAGUGGGGAAUAUUGCACAAUGGGCGCAAGCCUGAUGCAGCCAUGCCGCGUGUGUGAAGAAGGCCUUCGGGUUGUAAAGCACUUUCAGCGGGGAGGCGUUACCCGCAGAAGAAGCACCGGCUAACUACGUGCCAGCCGCCGCGGUAAUAC